CUUUGCAGCGUCGGUACGUAGUCAUCCGGGUUGCCGCAAGGCCUCCCGGGUAACCUACCACCCUUUGUUUAUUACACUUUGUUGCUUUGGCAGGCCUGCCCUCGGGCUGCUGGCUCCGGCCGGCGAGCGUCUGCCAGAGGACCUAAACUCUGUUUGUCUAUAAUGUCUGAGUACUAUAUAAUAGUUAAAACUUUCAACAACGGAUCUCUUGGUUCUGGCAUCGAUGAAGAACGCAGCGAAAUGCGAUAAGUAAUGUGAAUUGCAGAAUUCAGUGAAUCAUCGAAUCUUUGAACGCACAUUGCGCCCCCUGGUAUUCCGGGGGGCAUGCCUGUCCGAGCGUCAUUACAACCCUCAAGCUCAGCUUGGUGUUGGGCCCCGCCGCCCCGGCGGGCCCUAAAGUCAGUGGCGGUGCCGUCCGGCUCCGAGCGUAGUAAUUCUUCUCGCUCUGGAGGUCCGGUCGUGUGCUUGCCAGCAACCCCCAAUUUUUUUCAGGUUGACCUCGGAUCAGGUAGGGAUACCCGCUGAACUUAAGCAUAUCAAUAAGCGGAGGAA
rnacentral:rRNA from 1 species